GAGCAUGUGGUUUUCCAGUCUGAGAAGGGGUGUGUGUGUUUUUGAGGUAUGGUGCAGCUUUCCCUCAGAAGAUUGUUUCCUCUUCUACCUCUUCGGGGUGAUAGACUGCAGUAAGUACUGGCUGAAGAAAUGAGAAUUUCUUUUAGACCAAAACUGAAGAAGAAGAAAUUGACCGGACUCCAUGGGGGGAGCUGGAGCCAUCGGAUGAAGAAUCCUCAGAAGAGGAGGAAGAGGAGGAAAGCGAUGAAGACAAGCCAGAUGAGACUGGCUUUAUCACACCUGCGGACAGUGGCCUCAUCACUCCUGGAGGGUUCUCCUCCGUGCCAGCUGGAAUGGAGACCCCUGAACUCAUUGAGCUGAGAAAGAAGAAGAUUGAAGAGGCGAUGGAUGGGAGCGAGACACCUCAGUUGUUCACUGUAUUGCCAGAGAAGAGGACAGCCACUGUUGGUGGGGCCAUGAUGGGAUCUACCCACAUUUAUGACAUGUCCACGGUUAUGAGCCGGAAGGGCCCGGCCCCUGAGUUGCAAGGUGUGGAAGUAGCACUGGCUCCCGAGGAGUUGGAGUUGGACCCCAUGG
rnacentral:lncRNA from 1 species